UUCGUCCGCAGGCCGACACUCUAUCCACUGAGCCACGCUGUGCAGGGCUUGGGCGCUCUUCGAUUCCCGGUUGUAAUCCCGCGGCUCAUCCUUCAGUGGCAGACGCCCCGUCCGCAGGAGGCAGCCUGGGGGGGCAGCGAUCGCUUCUCCCUCAGAAUCGACUGGAGCCCAGAACCUCACCCCCCAAGACCGUGCGACGUGCCCGGCAGAGUGCGAGGGGCGGAGAAGUACCCCGAGGAGCACCCAAUGCCCAGCACCCUGCACCCAGCGCCCAGUGCCCAGCGCUCAGCGGGAGGAACACGCCGGGGCCGUCACAGCCGAUGCUUCCGUAGACGGCGCCCAUGUCUCAUUCCCUUCUCUACCCGAGGAUUUGCUGCCCGGAUUUAGCAUUUAAACAACAACAACAACAAAGGGACGGAGGGACGCGGGGUGGCCGACAGCCUGC